rnacentral:rRNA from 1 species
GAUGAACGCUGGCGGCGUGCCUAAUACAUGCAAGUCGAGCGAAUGGAUUAAGAGCUUGCUCUUAUGAAGUUAGCGGCGGACGGGUGAGUAACACGUGGGUAACCUGCCCAUAAGACUGGGAUAACUCCGGGAAACCGGGGCUAAUACCGGAUAACAUUUUGAACCGCAUGGUUCGAAAUUGAAAGGCGGCUUCGGCGGUCACUUAUGGAUGGACCCGCGUCGCAUUAGCUAGUUGGUGAGGUAACGGCUCACCAAGGCAACGAAGCGUAGCCGACCUGAGAGGGUGAUCGGCCACACUGGGACUGAGACACGGCCCAGACUCCUACGGGAGGCAGCAGUAGGGAAUCUUCCGCAAUGGACGAAAGUCUGACGGAGCAACGCCGCGUGAGUGAUGAAGGCUUUCGGGUCGUAAAACUCUGUUGUUAGGGAAGAACAAGUGCUAGUUGAAUAAGCUGGCACCUUGACGGUACCUAACCAGAAAGCCACGGCUAACUACGUGCCAGCCGCCGCGGUAA